GUUUCCGUGGUGUAGUGGUUAUCACAUCCGCCUAACACGCGGAAAGUCCUCGGUUCGAUCCCGGGCGGAAACA
rnacentral:tRNA from 1 species